rnacentral:rRNA from 1 species
UACGUAGGGGGCAAGCGUUGUCCGGAUUUAUUGGGCGUAAAGAGCGUGUAGGCGGUUUGGUAGGUCCGUUGUGAAAACUCGAGGCUCAACCUCGAGACGCCGAUGGAAACCAUCAGACUAGAGUCCGGAAGAGGAGAGUGGAAUUCCUGGUGUAGCGGUGAAAUGCGCAGAUAUCAGGAAGAACACCCGUGGCGAAGGCGGCUCUCUGGUACGUGACUGACGCUGAGACGCGAAAGCGUGGGGAGCGAACAGG